AGGAUUAUAGUUUAGCUAAAACAUUUAAUUUGCAUUUAAAAAAUAAUAUUAUAUUUAAUCUUA
rnacentral:tRNA from 1 species